AUCAUUUCAAUAAAAAUAAGAAAAAAAACAUUUUUAUGAUAUAAUUAGCUAGCACAGAAUCAUUGUCAGAGAAAUUAGUUUCUUAGAAAAAAAAUUGUCAACGGAAGAAUUUGAAGGGGGAGAGAGUUUAAGACACAUUACGUUCCGGGGACGACUGCUUCCAUCCAUGGAGAAGUGGGAGCGGAAGGAGGAGGAUUCGUGGUAGUGAGCUGAAUUCCGGUGAACUCGACCUCAGAAGAUCGCGCCGCCAACCACCCUUUGUUAAGAAUUCUCUUACCAAUCCCCUCCGCCAUUAACGAUUCUUCUUCUUCUACACUGCUUCUGCAAGAACUUGAUGUGAAUUCACUCAAACUCACUCAAUAAUUGGCAUUGACUGAUUUUGUUCACCGCUUGACGAGCUGAAAGUCAUGUGGAUUAGAGAUGGUCGGUGUGGACCGCGGUUGAGAUUGAUGUGUACUGCUAAAUCCUCUUCCUUUGGAUUUCAUUUGUCGUAUUGUUUACGCGGGCGAUAUUCUCUAUUGCUU
rnacentral:lncRNA from 1 species